rnacentral:rRNA from 1 species
GCAGCAAUGCCUUGAGUGGCGAACGGGUGAGUAACGCGUUGGUACCUGCCCCAAAGCGGGGGAUACCAGACCGAAAGGUCUGUUAAUACCGCAUGUGCUCCGUAAGGAGGAAAGGUUUUGCCUCGUAAGAGGUAGAUCACUUUGGGAGGGGCCUGCGUCCCAUCAGCUAGUUGGUAAGGUAACGGCUUACCAAGGCGAUGACGGGUAGGGGACCUGAGAGGGUGACCCCCCACAAUGGAACUGAAACACGGUCCAUACACCUACGGGUGGCAGCAGUAGGGAAUAUUGGUAAUGGGCGCAAGCCUGAACCAGCAACGCCGCGUGUGCGAUGACGGCCUUCGGGUUGUAAAGCACUUUUGACUGGGAAGAGGAAGGACGGUACCGGUCGAAUAAGCCUCGGCUAACUACGUGCCAGCAGCCGCGGUAAAACGUAGGAGGCGAGCGUUAUCCGGAUUUACUGGGUGUAAAGCGCGUGCAGGCGGCUCGAUAAGUUGGAUGUGAAAGCUCCCGGCUCAACUGGGAGAGGUCGUACAAGACUGUCGGGCUUGAGGAUGGUAGGGGAAGGUGGAAUUCCGGGUGUAGUGGUGAAAUGCGUAGAUAUCCGGAGGAACACCAGUGGCGAAGGCGGCCUUCUGGACCACACCUGACGCUCAGACGCGAAAGCUAGGGUAGCAAACGGGGUUAGAGACCCCGGUAGUCCUAGCCGUAAACGAUGUGAACUUGGCGCCGGGCGGGUAAAACCGAUCGGUGCCGCAGCUAACGCGAUAAGUUCACCACCUG